CGAGGUUGUCCUGGGGCUCAGUAUGUGGGUCCAUAUCAUCAUACUGGCCAGCACAAUCCCGUU
rnacentral:pre_miRNA from 1 species